rnacentral:rRNA from 1 species
CUGAGCGGAAUCCAGAGUACAUCGAGACACGAGAAACCUUGAUGGAAAGAGCGGGGACCACCCCGUAAGCCUAAAUACUACUUAGUGACCGAUAGCGCAUAGUACUGUGAAGGAAAGGUGAAAAGGACCCCGGGAGGGGAGUGAAAGAGAACCUGAAACCCUGUGUUUACAAGCUGUGGAAGUUCUUUAAAUGAACAACCGCGUACUUUUUGUAGAACGGUCCGGCGAGUUGCGGAUACUGGCAAGGUUAAGCACUUAAGGUGCGGAGCCGAAGGGAUACCAAGUCUUAACAGGGCGUUAAGUCAGUAUACGCAGACCCGAAACCGGGUGAUCUAUCCAUGUCCAGGUUGAAGUUGUCGUAAAAGACAAUGGAGGACCGAAGCCACAUCCGUUGAAAAGGGUGGGCAUGAGGUGUGGAUAGGGGAGAAAUUCCAAUCGAACCCGGAGAUAGCUGGUUCUCCUCGAAAUAGCUUUAGGGCUAGCCUCGAUUUAGUCUUAUGGAGGUAGAGCACUGAAUUUCCGCGGGGGCGUCAAAGCUUACCAAAGAAUAUCAAACUCCGAAUGCCAUGUAGAUGAUGAUCGGGAGUCAGACUGCACGAGAUAAGUUGGGCAGUCAAAAGGGAAAGAGCCCAGACCACCGGCUAAGGUCCCAAAGUGCGUGUUAAGUGGAAAAGGAUGUGGGAAUUCGAAGACAACUAGGAUGUUGGCUCAGAAGCAGCCAUACAUUCAAAGAGUGCGUAACAGCUCACUAGUCGAGAGUUCCUGCGCCGAAAAUGUCCGGGGCUGAAACACGACACCGAAGCCGUGGACUCGCAAUGCGAGUGGUAGAGGAGCAUUCUUAAAACCGACGAAGCUGUACCGAAAGGAGCAGUGGAGGGAUAAGAAGAGAGAAUGCCGGAAUGAGUAGCGAGAGAAAGGUGGGAAUCCUUUCGGCCGAAUAUCUAAGGUUUCCAGAGUAAAGCUGAUCUGCUCUGGGUAAGUCGGGGCCUAAGCACAGGUCGCAAGACGUAAGCGAUGGAUAACAGGUUUAGAUUCCUGUACCACGCAUUAUCAGAACUGUAGGGACGCAUGUGGAAAGCACGGGCCGGGAAUGGAAAGACCGGUACAAGCGGGGUAGGUGUACAAUAGGCAAAUCCGUUGUAUAAUCCGAAGACGUGAUGUGGAGCGAAAUAAAGUAGUGAAGCGUGUGAGCCAUGUGCCGAGAAAAGCUGCUAUUGUGUAAUGCGUGCCCGUACCGUAAACCGACACAGGUGGAUGAGGAGAGAAUCCUAAGGCCGACGGAAGAAGCAUUGUUAAGGAAUUCGGCAAAAUGACCCCGUAACUUCGGGAGAAGGGGUGCCUGCGAGAGCAGGCCGCAGAGAAUAGGCUCAAGCAACUGUUUAGCAAAAACACAGGUCUAUGCGAAACCGAAAGGUGAAGUAUAUGGGCUGACGCCUGCCCGGUGCUGGAAGGUUAAGAGGAGAGGUUAGCUUCGGCGAAGCUUUGAAUUUAAGCCCCAGUAAACGGCGGCCGUAACUAUAACGGUCCUAAGGUAGCGAAAUUCCUUGUCGGGUAAGUUCCGACCCGCACGAAAGGCGUAAUGAUUUGAGCACUGUCUCGACAAUGCAUCCGGUGAAAUUGAAGUACCAGUGAAGAUGCUGGUUACCCGCGCCAGGACGGAAAGACCCCAUGGAGCUUUACUCCAGUUUGAUACUGGGAUUCGGUACUGCAUGUACAGGAUAGGUGGGAGACGAAGAAGGAUGGACGCCAGUCUGUCCGGAGUCGCUGUUGGGAUACCACCCCUGUAGUACUGGGUUUCUAACCAGUUGCCAUGAACUGGCAAUGGGACAAUGUCAGGCGGGGAGUUUGACUGGGGCGGUCGCCUCCGAAAGGGUAUCGGAGGCGCUCAAAGGUUCCCUCAGAAUGGUUGGAAACCAUUUGAAGAGUGCAAAGGCAGAAGGGAGCUUGACUGCGACACCGACGGGUGGAGCAGGUACGAAAGUAGGACUUAGUGAUCCGGUGGUAUAAAGUGGGAUUGCCAUCGCUCAACGGAUAAAAGCUACCCUGGGGAUAACAGGCUUAUCACUCCCAAGAGUUCACAUCGACGGAGUGGUUUGGCACCUCGAUGUCGGCUCAUCGCAUCCUGGGGCUGUAGCAGGUCCCAAGGGUUGGGCUGUUCGCCCAUUAAAGCGGUACGCGAGCUGGGUUCAGAACGUCGUGAGACAGUUCGGUCCCUAUCCGGCGCGGGCGGAGGAUAUUUGAGAGGAGCUGUCCUUAGUACGAGAGGACCGGGAUGGACGGACCACUGGUGUAUCUGUUGUCGACCAACGGCAUGGCAGAGUAGCCAAGUCUGGAAGGGAUAAACGCUGAAGGCAUCUAAGCGUGAAGCCCCCCUCAAGAUGAGAUAUCCCUCCUUCGGGAGUAAGACCCCUUGAAGACUACAAGGUAGAUAGGGCAGAGGUGGAAGCAUGGCAACAUGUGGAGCUGACUGUUACUAAUAGGUCGA